UUUUUUUUUUUUUUUUGUCUUUUUAGGGCUGUACCUGGCAUAUGGAGGUUCCCAGGCUAGGGGUUGAAUCAGAGCUGCAGCCACAGCCACAGCCAUGACAGAUCUAAGCCAAAUCUAUGACUUACACCACAGCUCUCAGCAACACCAGAUCCUUAACCCACUAUAUAACGCCAGAGACUGAACCUGCGUUCUCAUGGAUACUAGUCAGAUUAGUUUCUGCUGAGCUGUUAAGGAACUCCUAUUCCUUAUUUUUUAAUCAGCAAUUAAGGCAGCUUAAGUGAAACCUAGUGUAGUUGCUAACACUUUCAUAUCAAUUCUCUUAGAAAUCUCUUCCCAAAUGUCUCAUUUAAGUUGAAUAGCCUGAUAUCCAUAUCCUUUAUCCAAAAUAUUAUAUAAUUUCACAUAUUUUCAUCCUUUCAUACAUAGCUGGAGCAUCUUGCAUAUGAAUGACAAGUGAAAAGGAAGACACACUAGAAUGGAAUAGAAGUUGAAAUAUUCAUUCAUUUUAUGUGCUUUAUAAUCAAUUUUUGAAUCAAGCUUUUAAGUAAAAUGAAAAUAAAGUGAAAUGGAAUGAUUAUUAGAAAUCAAAAUUAAAAUGUCAUAAAUAAUUUUAAUAUAUUAACUAUGCUAAUUAAAUGGAUUAAAAUUAGUACAUUCAGAAUAUGAGGAAGAUUGGUUCAAGUUAAUAAAUUAAACAUUGUGAUAGGCAACUUCUCUCUUCUGCUCCUAAGUGAUAAAAACACUUAGUGACCCCAAUUUCCUGAAGUAUCUUUGAAAAAUGGCAGGUAUAUUGGAUAAUACUGAAGAAGUUAACCAAAUUAUCAAAUGUAUAUGGCAGUAUACUGAAAAAAUAUGACUGGUUUCACGAUAUUCCAAAACUAGAAGUGACGUCUUUCAGAAAAAGGAAGGUAAAACUUUCCUAGAGAUGUCAAAACAAAUUAACCUAAGCUUGGGGGUUUAAACUACAGAAGAUUUUUCUGUCAUAGUUUGUUGAAAGUCCAAAAUCCAGGUAUUGACAGAGAAGUACUCCCCAUAAAGGGGAGAAUCCAUUUUUUACCUCAUUAAGCUUCUGGUGGCCGUCAGCCUCCCUUGUAGUCAUAGCACUCCACUCUUUGCCUUUGUCUUCACAUUGCCUCUUUUGAGUGUUUCUGUGGAUGUGUUUUUCUUGUGUGUCUUUCUUCUAUAAGAGUAUUUGUCAUUGGAUUUAGAAUCUACCCAGGUAAUUCAGAAUGUUUUCCUCAUUUCAGAAAUCUUUAGGUUAAUCAUAUCUUUAACCACCUUUGCUCCAAGAAAGAUAAUAUUCACAGAUUCCAGGGAAUAGGACUGCACUGUAUUGGGAUGAGGGGGAGGAAGGUGCAGUCUGUAUUCAGCCCAGCACAGUAACUAAACAUUAUGUCUCCUGAUCUUGUAUUAGGAUCAUUCAAAAAAAAAAUAAUCUUAAAUCCUUUCUCACUGCUCAACUACUCGCAGAACAAAGAUUUAACAAAAGGACAUUUAUUCUUUUAGUCAUUAGCAGUUAUUUCAGAAUUGUGGUUAGAAAGGCAAGGAAACAUGCACAGGUUUGGUUAUAUCCAGUAGACAUGAGAUCAAGAUUCUAAAUGAUUAAAUACUAAAAUCUACUUUGUAAUAAAUUCACAUUCAUUUAAUAAAUCAUAUUCAAUCUUAUAUAUCCUCUUCAGCUGUGUGUCCACACACAUAUAUUAUCCCAGUAGUAUUCAAUAAAGGGAAACUAUAAUGUAAAUCAAUAAGUGUCUACAAACAUUAAAAGCUGUGAAAUAUGCACUCAGCUAAGAAUCACCAAAAUUUAAAAAUAGUGAACAGUAUGAGAGAGCAACAGUAUAACAGACUUAACUAACAAACAUUUCAUACCCAAGAAAAAUAUUUAAUAGAGAAAAUAGAAUUUUAAAAAGUUAGGAUAUGGAGUUCCCUUGUGGCUCAGAAGGUUAAGGAGCCAGCAUUGUCACUGCUGUGGCAUGGGUUGGAUCCCUGGCACCAGAACUUCUGCAUGCUGUGGGUAUGGCCAAAAAAUUAGAAUAAACAUUAUCAAUGACCUCAGCAAAAUGUGAGAAUAAACCUCUGCCACUAAUAAUUAUAAAACUUAGGUUAAAAAAUGAAAAACAAAACUUUGAAUGCAUCAGAAAACAUCAAAGACAGCCAGAACUCAAGGGGCUUAGAUCUGAGAGAACAGAUAAGGACAGUAAAAAAGCCCCAGAUUCUCUAAUGCUAAUCCUUCUCAGAGAAUUUGAUCACCUGCUGACUUCAGGAAAAUAUUUAGAGUUUAAAGAGGAAGUAGUAACCAAGAGCCUCCGAAGUUCUCCAUGGGCAAGAGAGACAAUAAUGACAUACAGUUCAGCACAUCCAGGCUCCUAGGACUUGAGAAAUUAUAAUUCCCCCAAAAAGAAAUGUAAAAACAUGCGUGCAUCUAAUAUUUUAUAAGCAAUAUGCCCAUAAGGCAUUGAACAGCCCCUCAAGGCCAAGUGCAGGGUGCAAGUAGACAAAUAAAGUAAAAAGCAGCUGUUCUAUGGCUGAAAACCUAAUCAGAAAAUUCUGCAAUAUGGAGGUAUGUGUACACACUCUGUUGGUUCCAUUUCUCUGAAAAACCCUGACUGACAGUAUAUAUCUCUUGUUAGCCUGGUGUUGAGGGAGGAAUGUAGUUUGCUUUUCUGAUUUAGCCUUAGUCUGAGACAACCCCCAAAUCCCUGAGUCUCGACUGUUAAUCACUCUCAGGGCCCCUGUCCCUCCCUGGAUGUGUUUCUUCUGGGUUCACCUUGCCUUGGACAGUUUUGUUUAGUUUUUGAUUAUUUUCCUUCAGAUGCAGUAUGUUCAUUUCAGUGCCCAGUGGGGACAGUGUUUGUUGUUCUUAUCUUCACACAGUGAGAUUUGAUCCUUAAGGGGAGGGUGGAGGAAGGAACAAAGAGAAUUGCAUGCCUUUCGCAUCAGAACCACUAUUCUUUGUUUCUAGGUCUGUGACAUUAAAAGGAUGUUUUAUUUUAAUCUGUCUAAUAAUCUCCAGGAGCACCCACUAGGGUUCAAGGAAAAAACCCUGAAGAGAAUGUGGACUCCCCUUAUUUCUGUGGUCCUCAGGGUUUCACAUUCCUUCACCAGUGUGCUCCUGAUUGGGGUGAAAAUAAAAUCCAUAACUCACUUCUUGUACAAAGAAAAAAUUCCAGUUAAAUUAAGGGUACAAAUAUGAAGAAAAAAAAAAAAAGCCAUACAAGUAUUGCAAGAAAACAGGGGUUAAAUUCUCUUACAUCUCAGGGUAGGGAAAGACUUUCUAACUAUAACUCAAGUACAGAGUCAAUAAAUGAAAAAAAUUAAUGAAUUAUAACAUGUAAAAAAAAUUAAAGCUUUUUUCUGUGAAUAUCAACAUAAAAUAAUCAACAAAACUGUGACAAUGGGAAGAAACUUUUGCACUAUAUAAAGAGAAAAAUAUAUAAUUUCUUAAUACAGAAAAACUUAAAUUGAUGCAUUAAGGAGAAAAUCCUGACUGAAAAUGAGAUAAAAAUAUAUGAGCAGGAUAUUCAACAAAAAAGAUACAUAAAUGGAUUUUGGAAAUAAGAAAACAUUUUCAAACUCACAUUUAAAGAAGUACAGUCAAAUAACAAAGAGAUGCUAUUUCUUACCCAUGCAACUGGGGGGAAAAAAGGGAAUAUAUUCUACAUCCAAAAUAGGAAGUAUGGAUGAUUUAGAUUUUCUUUUCCUUUUUGGUGAAACAGAUAUAUAGAAUUAAAAAGAAGCUGAUGUUCUCACCAAGUGUAACUUUAAAAUGUUGACAUUUUGCAUAUUUGCUUUAUAAUUUUCCUUUUGGAAACCAAAUAUUAGUAAUGCAGAAAGAACUUUCUAAUUUGUUCCCUUCCUUAGACAAAUAUUCCUUUCUAAAGGAGACAGCACUCUGCUGAAUUUUACCUGUAUCUCUCCAGUUUAGAGUCAUAUUUGGACUACUUUUAUGUGAAUCCAUCAGCAGCAUAUAGCAGGAUCUCUAUACCUGGCCACUGAUUAACCUAUUUACCAGUUUACCAGAUAGCUUUCCUCAUCUCUGUAAAAUACACGAUUUCCACAGGUUAUUUUCAUAGUUCAUAAUGCACUUCCUGGUAAUGGGUUGUAGGUUUAUCAACACUCUGAAGCUUUUAUCCUAAAUCUAUUUAUGCCAUAUGUACUUCAUUUGAACUUAAGUAAUUUAAUUACGUAUUAUGCAAUGCAGGAAAUAUAAAUGAAUAACAAUUUUUUACAACUAAGUUUGAUGCUUUGAAAAUUAAAAAAAAAAAACAAAGCAAACAAAUAUUAGCAUGAGAAAGACAACUGCAUAUAUUUGGGGAAACAGAUGCAAUUCUAGAAGGAUUUUAUGCUUAGGUAGAUGUGGAAAUAUUUUUGAGUUCUUGCUAUAAAAAAAAUAAACUGAACAUUCUCUAUAAUGCUAUGUAUUAUAAAACAGAAAAGCAAUACAAACAAUGAACACACUUUUAAAAAAGCACUAAGUUCAAUAGCAACUAUAAAUGAAUAAGCAUUUAUUUAUUUUGAAAGAAGAAAGUAAAAAUAUAUAUAUUUUUAAUGAUGCUCUACUUUACAAUUUUUUUAAUAGCAACAAACUAUGGGUGAAAGUUAAUUUGAAUGAGGACUUGCUCAGUGGGUUAAGGAUCUGGUGUUGCCGUGAGCUGUGGUGUAGGUCACAGACAUGGAUUGGAUCUGGCAUUGAUGUGGCUGUGGCAUAUGCCAACAGCUGUAGCUCCGAUUAGCCUGGGAACCUCCAUAUGCCAUGGGUGUGGCCCU
rnacentral:lncRNA from 1 species